rnacentral:rRNA from 1 species
UACAGAGGGUGCGAGCGUUAAUCGGAAUUACUGGGCGUAAAGGGUGCGCAGGUGGUCAAAUAAGUCAGACGUGAAAUCCCCGGGCUCAACCUGGGAAUUGCGUUUGGUACUGUUUGGCUAGAGUGCAGUAGAGGAAUGUGGAAUUUCCGGUGUAGCGGUGAAAUGCGUAGAUAUCGGAAGGAACAUCAGUGGCGAAGGCGACAUUCUGGACUGUAACUGACACUGAGGCACGAAAGCGUGGGGAGCAAACAGG